UCCGUAGGUGGCAAGCGUUAUCCGGAAUUAUUGGGCGUAAAGCGCGCGCAGGUGGUUUCUUAAGUCUGAUGUGAAAGCCCACGGCUCAACCGUGGAGGGUCAUUGGAAACUGGGAGACUUGAGUGCAGAAGAGGAAAGUGGAAUUCCAUGUGUAGCGGUGAAAUGCGUAGAGAUAUGGAGGAACACCAGUGGCGAAGGCGACUUUCUGGUCUGUAACUGACACUGAGGCGCGAAAGCGUGGGGAGCAAACAGG
rnacentral:rRNA from 1 species